rnacentral:sRNA from 1 species
UCUAAGCAUCUGGCUUUGGUCACAUUACCAACCUUUCAUAAAAAAAAACAAAACAAAAAGGCGAUAAAACGCAAUUAAAGCAACUGUAAAAAAACUUAACAAAAUAUAACUAGUGAUAAACUAAACCAACUGCAUUACACACACCCCGCAAACAAACGAAAAUGUGAUGUUAAGUUGAAGAAGAACAGCGCGAAAGGGAAAAACGAGCUUGCGGAUGUGAAAAGUAAAGCGGGUGUGUGGAAAACGGCAACAACAAAUGGCGAACGGGGGAAAGCCAAAGAAAAACUACUCGCGGGGGAGCGAAAAUCGGCAGGGAAACACGGACAAGAAAGAGGAAGAAUAGGAAUCAGAGUAGGAGAGCAAGCAGCAGAAGAAGAAGCAGCGCAGCCGCUAAUUGUCUCGUCGUUCGUUGUUGUUGCUGCUGUGCAAAAAAAAAAACCCUAAAAAGAAAUUGCAAAAAAAUAAAGCAAACAAAUUCAAUAAAACGAAUUGAACGAUUAGCAAGUUAAUAAACGCAACAUAAAACCAAAGGAACAAACAGCAGUGGCAAAGGAAAGGCAAAAAGAAGAACAACCGAAAAGUUAGUAAUCAAAUUGCACAAAAUGCGAGAGAAGAGAGCAGAUCAAUAAUAAUAAUAAUAACAAAAAGGAAAGGAGCAGAUGUAACGGUGUGUGUGUG